CACGUAGGGCGCAAGCGUUGUCCGGAAUUAUUGGGCGUAAAGAGCUCGUAGGCGGCUUGUCACGUCGGGUGUGAAAGCCCGGGGCUUAACCCCGGGUCUGCAUUCGAUACGGGCUAGCUAGAGUGUGGUAGGGGAGAUCGGAAUUCCUGGUGUAGCGGUGAAAUGCGCAGAUAUCAGGAGGAACACCGGUGGCGAAGGCGGGAUCUCUGGGGCC
rnacentral:rRNA from 1 species